AUGGCCUCGACAACGGCAUGCUCUGACCACUGCUCGUUGAUCCUAGCGCCGUGUGACGCCCAGGUCCGUCGUGCACGCUUCCGUUUCGAGUCUUUCUGGCCAAAGUUCCCGCACUUCCACACGACGGUCGAGCGGGCAUGGAAUCGCCCGGUGCGCCAGCGUUGCGCUUUUGCAAGGCUUCAGACCAAGUUAACAAGGACAACCCACGACCUGAAGAUCUGGAGUAGGUCACUUUUCAGUGAUGCCAAGACUCAGUUCCACAUUGCUAAUGAGGUGAUUCUGCGGCUCGACGUGGCGCAGGAGACUAGGUCGCUGUCAGCCGCCGAGUUCAAUCUGCACAAGAUGUUGAAGCUGCGGCUGCUUGGUUUAGCGGCGAUCGAGAAGGCCAGAAGGCGGCAGGCCUCCAGAGUGCUCUGGUUACGCGCGGGAGACGCCAACACCAAAUUUUUCCAUGCCAAGUGUUGUUCCAGAAAACGCAAGAACCUCAUCCACACAAUCCAGGGUGAUGAUCAGAUUGCCACAACGCAUAGCGACAAGGCACAACUCAUUUAUGAUCAUUUC
rnacentral:rRNA from 1 species